GUCUGAUUGCUGAGACACACAGUUGACAAAAUAUGAAUGAGUCUAGGCAACAGUCACUGUUCUUCAUCACACUUCCAGAUUUACAUCAACUGUGUGCUGUCCCAGUAAUAUUAAGUAACAGGGUGGUGGAUACUGAGAUUAGGAGUACACAAAUGAAGAUGUGCAGACAAUUGCUACUUUUGCAUGAAGAUAUUCUUAUAUCACCUGUCCCUGGAAUAUUCAACCAAAUUUGGGUGGUGAUGACGAUACCAUUUUUUAAAGCUGGGAAACUUCAUGCUUAUAUUGAAAAAUAUGAAGCUAAGAUGGAGGCUCCACAAAGAGUAAUUCCUGUAAUUCUUCAGAACUGCCUUUCGUAUUCAUUCAUGGCUAGACUUGCUCCAGCCUGGAAUAGAGCUGGACAUCUCUUGGUACAAGGAAGAGAUUUUCUUUCUCAGAUGGGAAAACAAAGUGCCAUUGUAUUAGACAUCAAUGUAACAGAAGCUCAAGUUUGUCUAAGUAUAGAAGUUUGCACUGUCAGACUGCCACCACCUGAGCUAAAGGAAUUUGAUAUUUCUCAGAGUACUAUAGAGAAUUUUCAUACUAACAAGAUGGCUGUUAUUGAAAGACAUUCCAUUUUGAGCAACUGGUGCUAUAUUUUGCCCAGUAUGAAAAUGGGACAAAUAAUAAAUAUUCUUCAUGCUGUACCUGCUGACUGUCCAUUCCAUUCAUUCGAAGAUUUCCAGAUGCACUGGGAUGACUUGUAUGGCUAUAAACUUCCAGAAGAUGAUAGAAAUAGUAAAAUAUACUGCAACAUCUACUUCAGAAUGAUCAGAGAAAGGACUUUUACAUACCCUCUCAGUUGCAUUAGAAGUCAGCCCAUACAGUUCUUCCCAAGGGUAGAUUUGGAAGGCGUAUUGAAAAGUUUCCUUUCAGAUUUAAAAUCUAAACUGCCUCAUAUAUGUGGAUUGCCCAUAAAGAUGACAAAUAAGCCAUGCUACUAUACAAAGGAACUAACCAAACCUCAUAUACAGGAAAACAAAGUCAAGCCACCCAACUUGACCACUAAAAAACUGUUCAGGGCAUCUGUGACACAAGCUAGUUCCAGAAAACCUGCUCCUAUUCCAAGUCUUCUCCCGUGUUCAGAAGUAGCAGACCACAAGGUGGAGCUUCCCAUCAGCAAGUCACAGUCCGGCAUUUCCUCAGUUCUACAUCACCAGCCAGAGUACAUUCUAGGUAGAAAGCAAUCUCUGUCUCACAAGGUACCACAACUACAAUUGGAAGAAUCAAAUCCCAACAGAGGAAAUACUCAAGUUUCAUACACAAAUCUUAGCUCCCAAAGUAAGAUCACCCCUAAAUUCAUACCAGUUUUCAAAAAGGGAUUGUCACCAAUGAACAAAAAUAUUUCAGUACUUGGCAACAGGAAAAGAAAACACCAUGUCAUAACGGAAUCAAAAUUGUAUUCACUUAAAACUAAUGUAAUCCAGGAUGACAAACUGAAUUUAGGUCCAACUAGUAAAAAAAGACCUAACAGUAACAUUCAGGUAUAUGAUAGAAAUUUAAAUCAAAAGGGCUCUAGACCUCUGCAAGAAAAAAAUACCGAAUGCUAUGAAAAUAUAAAAUAUCCCUCUCCUAAUGUGAGCUUAAAUGAAAGUAAACAGUUUUCUAACAGUAUGAUGUGUCAGGUGUCAAAUAACAGUUUAAGUGUGAUGAAAAAUGCUGUGGACUUCCAUGGAAAAGAAAAUCUAACAAGUAAAUGUAUAACACAGAUUUUAAGGAAAGGCUGUGAGUCAAUAAAACUGAAGAGGCAACCAUACAUUUUUGAACCAGACACAGAAACUGAAGAUCCCCAACUGCUACAACAGCCAGCAAACCAAACUAAAGAAGUUGAUCUAAGUGACCACAGGUUGGUAGUAAGCAGAACAGCCUACAGGUCUAAAAGAAAAGUAUGUCCUGAGUCUUCAAAAACUUCAAAGAAGCAUCAUUCCAAUACUAUGCAUUAUGAACAACCCAGUUCUUCUAGGAGACAGAUGCAAAGCUGACUCUGCAGCUCUGAGUAUCAGGCACAGUGGAGAGCAGGAGGGAGAGACCAAAGGCCCAGAGCAUUGGAGGCAUAGAGGAGAUACUUAACAGUUA
rnacentral:lncRNA from 1 species